CGCUCGCCUCUAUCAAGAGGUGCUGCAAGUCUCUGAGGGACGGGGGUGUUCAUUUCCCCCCCAAUGGGCUUCUUCUAAAACAAGGCGCCUGAAACUACCUCAAUAUACCUUUGCUUUACUUCUGUCAAUAGCACUUAGCGAUAUGUGUCUUUUAACGUACUUUUUCUGGUUCUUUCCAUAUUCUACCCUCCCUGACUAUGAUGCAGGAGGCCUGGCCAGGGAAGAGGGCCUGCAGCCUGGAGGAGAGUGCCCUGUGGACCCCCACUGCAGUCCGGGCUAGCCUGAUAACACGAGAAAGACCUCGAUAAUCCUUACUGGGCAGUUCAGCAGUCUUCUAUCUGAGCCCGCAACCACACCAACAGCAGAACUUUCAAAGUUAAGUGGAAAUUAAAGCUUGAACACCUGUCCGCGCAGACUGCCACAAUCCCGGGCAUGUUCAGAAAAAGGGGUUCUCUCUCCUUCCUUCCCCAGCCCCACCUCCGCUCUCUUAGGCUGCCAGGCUCCAGAGGAGUCUGCGCUGCUGCCGCCGCCGCAGUCCAAACGCGGAGACUCUGAGUCUUCCCCGCCUGCGUGUGCACGUCCCUCCCUCCGCCUCUGCCCCACGACUUGACACGUUUUGAAGGAGAACACGGAGGGUCAGAGACAGCACCGGGGCUCACCUUCACAGUGAAGCUCUCCUUCCUGCUGGUGUAGACCACGUCACCGGACCUCGUGGUGGUGAGCCCAGAUCCUGACGGUUUUAAAAGAGCAACACAAAUUUAAGAACAAUGUUUAAAAAAUGUCUUCCGUGGGAAGAAGAUAAGAGGGAGUAAGUUCAGCGAAUGUCAUAGUUUUGCCGUCGGAUGAAAGACUUACGACCCUCUUUGCCAAGUCCAGGCUACCUGGCUCUCGUGCCGUCAGCCACACCUUCCGCAGCCAACUGGACUGCUGUGCCCGGGACAGUGACAGCCACAGAGAGAGAAGCCAGCUCAGGCACCCCACGCCACCCCGGGAGUUCCCGCUGCCGACAUGGAACAGAAGGAACACAGGCACGUGCUUUCCAGAGUGCACACAGGCCACCACCCACCGUGCUUGUCUGCUUUGCUUUCUAAAUGCUAAUGUUCAAACAAAUAGGAACCACAUUAAAAAUAAAAAGCUCUAGGAA